AACGAACGCUGGCGGCAUGCCUAACACAUGCAAGUCGAACGAGACCUUCGGGUCUAGUGGCGCACGGGUGCGUAACGCGUGGGAACCUGCCCUUAGGUUCGGCAUAACUCCCCGAAAGGGGUGCUAAUACCGGCUAAUGUCUUCGGACCAAAGAUUUAUCGCCUUUGGUUGGGCCCGCGUUGGAUUAGCUAGUUGGUAGGGUAAAAGCCUACCAAGGCGACGAUCCGUAACUGGUCAGCGAGGCGGGUCAGCCACACUGGGACUGAGACACGGCCCAGACUCCUACGGGAUGCGGCAGUGGGUGAUAUUGGACAGUGGGCGGAAGCCUGAACCAGCUAUGCCGCGUGAGUGAUGAAGGCCUUAGGGUUGUAAAGCUCGUUUACCCGUGAUGAUAAUGACAGUACCGGGAGAAUAAGCUCCGGCUAACUCCGUG
rnacentral:rRNA from 1 species